AGAGGCCCUCUGCAGCCGGGCGGGACGCUUGCCUCAUCGCCAUGGCGAUGAAGCAAGCAUUCCGCCAGGCCGCUCACGCUGCCUGU
rfam:Myotis lucifugus cont2.42996, whole genome shotgun sequence.